GACGAACGCUGGCGGCGUGCUUAACACAUGCAAGUCGAACGGAAAGGCCCUGCUUUUGUGGGGUGCUCGAGUGGCGAACGGGUGAGUAACACGUGAGUAACCUGCCCUUGACUUUGGGAUAACUUCAGGAAACUGGGGCUAAUACCGGAUAGGAGCUCCUGCCGCAUGGUGGGGGUUGGAAAGUUUCGGCGGUUGGGGAUGGACUCGCGGCUUAUCAGCUUGUUGGUGGGGUAGUGGCUUACCAAGGCUUUGACGGGUAGCCGGCCUGAGAGGGUGACCGGCCACAUUGGGACUGAGAUACGGCCCAGACUCCUACGGGAGGCAGCAGUGGGGAAUAUUGCACAAUGGGCGGAAGCCUGAUGCAGCAACGCCGCGUGCGGGGUGACGGCCUUCGGGUUGUAAACCGCUUUCGCCUGUGACGAAGCGUGAGUGACGGUAAUGGGUAAAGAAGCACCGGCUAACUACGUG
rnacentral:rRNA from 1 species